CACAGCUCUCUCAUGUGUGAGGGGUUUGAUCUCAGUGCUGAUGCAAGAGCUCUGAAGCCUUCCUCUCCAAAACUGCAGUAUGACAGGCUUAGUGUCUCCAGUG